AGGAAUGUUGAUACACAAAUUGGACUGAAAUAGUGCUCUGAUAUACCUCCCUAAAACAAGCUGUCUUUUUGAUGACCAGGAUGGACUGAGUGAAAUCAUGACAGACAGAUAGAGGCAGAUAGUU